ensembl:lncRNA
CUUAGAUCAAGGAUAGAAGUGGAGGUUAUAGGAUGUAAUAGGUUUCUGGCUUUUUUUUUUUUAAAAAAGAGAGCCACAGUAUUUCUGGUAAAGUGGAUCUGACACAUAGGCAUAGAAGGAAUGAAGGUUGAUCGCAAGAUUUUAACAAGUGCUUGGAAGGAGUGAGUAGUCUUUAAUAGCAGUGGGGAAAGUGGCCGAAUUCUGCUGACAUUUAAGGCUGAAAUGCAAUGUUCCCAAGUUCUUGUGACCAUCCCAAGUAAAACUACUUGAUAACAUUGUUUUGUCGAUACAGACAGAGGAAGGAAAAAUAAGAUAAGUUCUGUCUACAUUGAUUGUCAACAGACAUCUCACCAAAUCACUGCUGAACUGGAGCUAGAAGCCAAGAAUGGUUCCCAAGCCUAUGGUCAAGGAAAUUUACAGGCUUCAAGAUUACACCAAGCAAAAGACCCUGGUUGCAGUGGGUUCUGUUUGCUUUUCUUCUUUUGGAGUGACUCUUACAUAGGAUGAUAUGAAAAUGAAUUUCUGACCCUUUUUCUCAUAACUGGAGAUAUUAUUUCUACAAGUGUGAAGAUUGCAAGCAAUGUGUCUGCCUUCUUUGAUGCUGAAUUUAAAGGGAAAUAUAUGGUGUGUCAUGUUAUUUACAAAUGGACUGAGGGAACUGGAGCUGACAUUUCAUUGCAUGGUGACCUUAUUCCAAUAGAGAAAUAAGACUUUGAAGAUGAGAAAAGGGAGCCAUGAGCCAAGGAAUGUGAGUGGCCUCUAGAAACUGGAAAAGACACGUGAAACAGAUUCUCCCCUAGAUCCUCCACAAAGGGAACUCAGUCCUGUCAACGACUUAAUUUUAGCCCAGUGACACUUCUAUCAGACUCUGAUCUUCAGACCUGUUGCAUAAUAAACAUGUGCUUUUGUGCUGCGUAAGAC